rnacentral:rRNA from 1 species
CCUACGGGUGGCUGCAGUAGGGAAUCUUCCACAAUGGGCGAAAGCCUGAUGGAGCAACGCCGCGUGGGUGAAGAAGGUCUUAGGAUCGUAAAACCCUGUUGUUAGAGAAGCAAGUGCGUGAGAGUAACUGUUCACGUUUCGACGGUAUCUAACCAGAAAGCCAAGGCUAACUACGUGCCAGCAGCCGCGGUAAUACGUAGGUGGCAAGAGUUAUCCGGAUUUAUUGGGCGUAAAGGGAACGCGGGCGGUCUUUUAAGUGUGAUGUGAAAGCCUUCGGCUUAACCGGAGUAGUGCAUUGGAAACUGGGAGACGUGAGUGCAAGAGAGGAAAGUGGAACGCGAGGGUGAGCGGGGAAAUGCG